rnacentral:rRNA from 1 species
GAUGAACGCUGACAGAAUGCUUAACACAUCAGCAAUUGAUUGGUGGCGGACGGGUGAGUAACGCGUAAAGAACUUGCCCCACAGGUAGGAACAACAUUUGGAAACGAAUGCUAAUACCUAAUACUGUGAGAGAGCUUUGCGUCCCAUUAGCUAGUUGGAGAGGUAACGGCUCACCAAGGCGAUGAUGGGUAGCCGGCCUGAGAGGGUGAUCGGCCCCAAGGGGACUGAGACACGGCCCUUACUGCUACGGGAGGAAGGAGUGGAGAAUAUUGGACAAUGGACCGAUGUCUGAUCAAGCAAUUCUGUGUGCACGAUGAAGUUUUCGGAAUGUAGAGUGCUAUCAGUAGAGAAGCGGUACCAGCAGAAGAAGUAACGGCUAAAUACGUGCCAGCAGCCGCGGUAAUUC